rnacentral:tRNA from 1 species
ACCCGAUCGGCGCAACAGUUAGCGCGCCUGACUGUUGCGCCGAGGGUUGCGGGUUCGAUCCCCACAUCGGGCA